GACGAACGCUGGCGGCGUGCUUAACACAUGCAAGUCGAACGGAAAGGCCCUGCUUUUGUGGGGUGCUCGAGUGGCGAACGGGUGAGUAACACGUGAGUAACCUGCCCUUGACUUUGGGAUAACUUCAGGAAACUGGGGCUAAUACCGGAUAGGAGCUCCUGCUGCAUGGUGGGGGUUGGAAAGUUUCGGCGGUUGGGGAUGGACUCGCGGCUUAUCAGCUUGUUGGUGGGGUAGUGGCUUACCAAGGCUUUGACGGGUAGCCGGCCUGAGAGGGUGACCGGCCAAAAUGGGAAUGAGAUUAGGGCCAAAAUCCUAAGGGAGGGAGGAGGUGGGAAAAAUUGCAAAAGGGCGGAAACCCUGAGGAGGAAAGGCGCGUGGGGGAUGAAGGCCUUCGGGUUGGAAAACGGCUUUGCCUGUGAAGAAGGGGGGGGGAAGGGAAAGGGUAAAGGAAGAACGGCUAAAUAAGUU
rnacentral:rRNA from 1 species